UACGUAGGGAGCAAGCGUUGUCCGGAAUCAUUGGGCGUAAAGCGCGCGUAGGCGGCCUCGUAAGUCCGUUGUGAAAGUCAAAGGCUCAACCUUUGAAAGCCGAUGGAUACUGUGAGGCUAGAGUCCGGAAGAGGCGAGUGGAAUUCCUGGUGUAGCGGUGGAAUGCGCAGAUAUCAGGAGGAACACCAAUAGCGAAGGCAGCUCGCUGGGACGGUACUGACGCUAAGGCGCGAAAACGUGGGGAGCGAACAGG
rnacentral:rRNA from 1 species